GUGAACGCUGGCGGUCGGCCUAACGCAUGCCAGUCGAACGGCAGCACAGUAAGAGCUUGCUCUUACGGGUGGCGAGUGGCGGACGGGUGAGGAAUACAUCGGAAUCUACUUUUUCGUGGGGGAUAACGUAGGGAAACUUACGCUAAUACCGCAUACGACCUACGGGUGAAAGCAGGGGAUCUUCGGACCUUGCGCGAUUGAAUGAGCCGAUGUCGGAUUAGCUAGUUGGCGGGGUAAAGGCCCACCAAGGCGACGAUCCGUAGCUGGUCUGAGAGGAUGAUCAGCCACACUGGAACUGAGACACGGUCCAGACUCCUACGGGAGGCAGCAGUGGGGAAUAUUGGACAAUGGGCGCAAGCCUGAUCCAGCCAUACCGCGUGGGUGAAGAAGGCCUUCGGGUUGUAAAGCCCUUUUGUUGGGAAAGAAAAGCAGCAGGUUAAUACCCCGCUGUUCUGACGGUACCCAAAGAAUAAGCACCGGCUAACUUCGUG
rnacentral:rRNA from 1 species